rnacentral:rRNA from 1 species
GACGAACGCUGGCGGCGUGCUUAACACAUGCAAGUCGAACGGAAAGGCCCUGCGUUUGUGGCGUGCUCGAGUGGCGAACGGGUGAGUGACACGUGAGUAACCUGCCCUUGACUUUGGGAUAACUUCAGGAAACUGGGGCUAAUACCGGAGAUGAUCUCCUGCUGCAUGGUGGGGGUUGGAAAGUGUCGGCGGUUGGGGAUCGUCUAGCGGCUUAUCAGCUUGUUGGUCGGGUAGUUGCUUACCAAGGCUUCGACGGGUAGCCGGCAUGAGAGGGUGGCCGGCCACAAUGGGACUGAGAUACGGAGCAGACUGCUACGGGAGGCAGCAGUGGGGAAUAUUGCACAAUGGGCGGAAGCCUGAUGCAGCAACGCCGCGUGCGGAAAGCCGGCCUUCGGGUUGUAAACCGCUUUCGCCUGAGACGAAGCGUGAGUGACGGUAAUGGGUCAAGAAGCAACGGCUAACUACGUG